AAGCAAAAGUGCUCGCGGGUUUUAUGAGUUCUCAGACUUAAUUUCUAUGCCAUGGUUUCAAAAGUGCUCGGGAGUCGGGUUUUUAACGCAUAAAACCCGAACACUUUUGAAACCAUAGUCAUAGAAGUCUGAGAACUCAUAAAACCCGCGAGCACUUUUGCUU
rnacentral:miRNA from 1 species